UAAGUAUUAUUGCAUUACAGAAAUGAAUGUUGACUUGGGUACAAAGGCUUUCAUUCGUCAAAUCAUUCCUAUACACUUCGACACCUUGGAGACAACAUUGUCUAUAUUUGAGUACUCCAUUUAAUUUAAGUUGAUAAUCAACAAUAAUUUCUAGUUUCGUAUGUUACUUUCUCCCAUGUAUCCUCAGGAUCAGUGAUUAUAGAAUGUAGAUACAUACAAU